GACGAACGCUGGCGGCGUGCUUAACACAUGCAAGUCGAACGGACAGGCCCUGCUUUUGUGGGGUGCUCGAGUGGCGAACGGGUGUGUAACACGUGAGUAACCUGCCCUUGACUUUGGGAUAACUUCAGGAAACUGGGGCUAAUACCGGAUAGGAGCUCCUGCUGCAUGGUGGUGGUUGGAAAGUUUCGGCGGUUGGGGAUGGACUCGCGGCUUAUCAGCUUGUUGGUGGGGUAGUGGCUUACCAAGGCUUUGACGGGUAGCCGGCCUGAGAGGGUGACCGGCCACAUUGGGACUGAGAUACGGCCCAGACUCCUACGGGAGGCAGCAGUGGGGAAUAUGGCACAAUGGGCGGAAGCCUGAUGCAGCAACGCCGCGUGCGGGAUGACGGCCUUCGGGUUGUAAACCGCUUUCGCCUGUGACGAAGCGUGAGUGACGGUAAUGGGUAAAGAAGCACCGGCUAACUACGUG
rnacentral:rRNA from 1 species